rnacentral:piRNA from 1 species
UGGUCUUAUAAACAGUGUCCUUCGCCUUA